rnacentral:tRNA from 1 species
ACCAGAAUGGCUGACUGGUUAAGGCAUUGGACUGUCAUUGUGGGUUCAAACCCCGCUCCUGGUA